rnacentral:rRNA from 1 species
GACGAACGCUGGCGGCGCGCCUAACACAUGCAAGUCGAACGAGCGAGAGAGAGCUUGCUUUCUCGAGCGAGUGGCGAACGGGUGAGUAACGCGUGAGGAACCUGCCUCAAAGAGGGGGACAACAGUUGGAAACGACUGCUAAUACCGCAUAAGCCCACAGCUCGGCAUCGAGCAGAGGGAAAAGGAGCAAUCCGCUUUGAGAUGGCCUCGCGUCCGAUUAGCUAGUUGGUGAGGUAACGGCCCACCAAGGCAACGAUCGGUAGCCGGACUGAGAGGUUGAACGGCCACAUUGGGACUGAGACACGGCCCAGACUCCUACGGGAGGCAGCAGUGGGGAAUAUUGCACAAUGGGGGAAACCCUGAUGCAGCGACGCCGCGUGGAGGAAGAAGGUCUUCGGAUUGUAAACUCCUGUUGU